ACCUUUGAAGCACCGGUUAUCGCAUGAUUACUGAAGUUAAGCAAGCUUGAGCCUGGUCAGUACCUAGAUAGGUGACCGCCUGGGAAUACCAGGUGCUGUC